rnacentral:piRNA from 1 species
UGAAUGCCGUGUAAUGGUGAA